GCAAAUUGCAAAACUCUUAAGAUCAUAUAAAUCUUUCGCCUUUUACUAAAGAUUUCCAUGGAGAGAAGCACUGAGUUUAAAUUAAUUUUUUGUGGUCCUGCUUUAGUGGGGU